CGCGGCCUAUCAGCUUGUUGGUGAGGUAAUGGCUCACCAAGGCGACGACGGGUAGCCGGCCUGAGAGGGUGACCGGCCACACUGGGACUGAGACACGGCCCAGACUCCUACGGGAGGCAGCAGUGGGGAAUAUUGCACAAUGGGCGAAAGCCUGAUGCAGCGACGCCGCGUGAGGGAUGACGGCCUUCGGGUUGUAAACCUCUUUCAGUAGGGAAGAAGCCCCUUUUGGGGGUGACGGUACUUGCAGAAGAAGCGCCGGCUAACUACGUGCCAGCAGCCGCGGUAAUACGUAGGGCGCAAGCGUUAUCCGGAAUUAUUGGGCGUAAAGAGCUCGUAGGCGGUUUGUCGCGUCUGCCGUGAAAGUCCGAGGCUCAACCUCGGAUCUGCGGUGGGUACGGGCAGACUAGAGUGAUGUAGGGGAGACUGGAAUUCCUGGUGUAGCGGUGAAAUGCGCAGAUAUCAGGAGGAACACCGAUGGCGAAGGCAGGUCUCUGGGCAUUUACUGACGCUGAGGAGCGAAAGCAUGGGGAGCGAACAGGAUUAGAUACCCUGGUAGUCCAUGCCGUAAACGUUGGGCACUAGGUGUGGGGGACAUUCCACGUUUUCCGCGCCGUAGCUAACGCAUUAAGUGCCCCGCCUGGGGAGUACGG
rnacentral:rRNA from 1 species